GAUGAACGCUGGCGGCGUGCCUAAUACAUGCAAGUCGAGCGAACGGACGAGAAGCUUGCUUCUCUGAUGUUAGCGGCGGACGGGUGAGUAACACGUGGAUAACCUACCUAUAAGACUGGGAUAACUUCGGGAAACCGUAGCUAAUACCGGAUGAUAUUUUGAACCGCAUGGUUCAAAAGUGAAAGACGGUCUUGCUGUCACUUAUAGAUGGAUCCGCGCUGCAUUAGCUAGUUGGUAAGGUAACGGCUUACCAAGGCAACGAUGCAUAGCCGACCUGAGAGGGUGAUCGGCCACACUGGAGCUGAGACACGGUCCAGACUCCUACGGGAGGCAGCAGUAGGGAAUCUUCCGCAAUGGGCGAAAGCCUGACGGAGCAACGCCGCGUGAGUGAUGAAGGUCUUCGGAUCGUAAAACUCUGUUAUUAGGGAAGAACAUAUGUGUAAGUAACUGUGCACAUCUUGACGGUACCUAAUCAGAAAGCCACGGCUAACUACGUG
rnacentral:rRNA from 1 species